GAUGAACGCUGGCGGCGUGCCUAAUACAUGCAAGUCGAGCGAACAGACGAGGAGCUUGCUCCUCUGACGUUAGCGGCGGACGGGUGAGUAACACGUGGAUAACCUACCUAUAAGACUGGGAUAACUUCGGGAAACCGGAGCUAAUACCGGAUAAUAUAUUGAACCGCAUGGUUCAAUAGUGAAAGACGGUUUUGCUGUCACUUAUAGAUGGAUCCGCGCCGCAUUAGCUAGUUGGUAAGGUAACGGCUUACCAAGGCGACGAUGCGUAGCCGACCUGAGAGGGUGAUCGGCCACACUGGAACUGAGACACGGUCCAGACGCCUACGGGAGGCAGCAGUAGGGAAUCUUCCGCAAUGGGCGAAAGCCUGACGGAGCAACGCCGCGUGAGUGAUGAAGGUCUUCGGAUCGUAAAACGCUGUUAUUAGGGAAGAACAAAUGUGUAGUAACUAUGCACGUCUUGACGGUACCUAAUCAGAAAGCCACGGCUAACUACGUG
rnacentral:rRNA from 1 species